AAACAUAAUGAUUUAUUUCUAGAGUGCAUGACCAUAUUAGUGGGUCCACAUUUCUAAUAUCUGACCAGUAGAGGACAGCAGGCAGUGGUUUAGUUUUAUGAUGUACAUUCUAGGUGACACUUCCUCAAGGUGUCAAGUAGUGGGACUAAACCUGAAAACACACUUCAUAACUUACAGGACCAUAAACAGAAGAGGGCUGACGACCAAGUUUUAACGGGUCCCAACUUGCACACUUAAUGUGUUGUUGUACUCUUUGUUAACUCUCACUUUGCUGACUACUACUCUGUACAUAGCCUGUACAGCUGCACAAGCCAUUCUUCUACUCUUUCUUUCCUUAAGAACCACCUGAUGAUCAAACUACCAAAGUUCUUCUCCAACUCUAUGAAUGUUACGUAUACAUGCUUACUACUAAGCUCUUCUCUUGCAGUAAUCUCAUUAGGAAGAUGAUAUUAAUUGUACCUGUUCCUGGUAUAAAGCCCAAUCACAUCUCAUUUAGACUUGUUCCUAAUCAAUCUUGUAAUAUUAACUCUUUCAAUAACUUUCCUAACCUGGUCUGACAAUUUGAUUCUCUGUAAUCUCCUCUGUUGUGUAUCUGCUUUGCCUUUUUAACAGUUUACAAUCCUCUGUUGAAUGUGCAAUGACAAAGUACUAGUGUAUUUAGAGAAAAGUUUGGCAUAAGAGGAAUUAAAUAUAGUGUGCAAGAGAGAAGACCACUGGUUUGGCAAUGUGAUGCACGUAAAAGCACCCAUUACACUCUUGGAGUGGUUGGCAUUAGGAAGGGCAUCCAGCCUUAGAAACCAUGCUAAAUCAGAAUGGAGUCUAGUGCAGUCUUCCAGCUUGCCAGCCCUGGUUAAACUGUCCAACCCAUGCCAGCAUAUACAAUGAAUGUUAGAUGGUGUUGAAAUCUACUUCGGCUAUAGGAACUCGGUCACCAGCAAAGCAGAGUUCCCAUUGGCAGCCAACCUCAAACUCUUCUGCUAUAACCUGAAAGACUAUGGUGAAUAGGAGUGGUGUUAGGAGAAUGAGUUGUAGGGAAGAGGCAUGUCAGGGACAGACUGGGUGCAGGGACAUAGACAAAUUAUAUGAAAUGGACAGGUGUUCUCAAGAACAGCAAAUCACCAGUCAUCUUGGUGCUUUUGUCAUCCACCCCAUGAUACUCAACACAGAGGAGAUGACUACUUCACUUCUUCGUUCCACAGCUCUUUCUGCAUUUAAUUGCUGGCACUUCGUUAUGCAACUGUCAUCUCCACUGCACAUCACAUGAUCACACCAGUGCAGUCUUCUCUCUUGUACACACACAUGGCAGACUUUUUCAGCUUUUUUCAUGUUUGUUUCUUUGUAUCUGUGUUUGUCUCCAACCACCAAUUGACAACCAGUGUUGGUAUGUUUAUGUUCCCAUAACUUAACGGUUCAGCAAAACAGACCAACUGAGUAAGUACUAGGCUUUUGACUAAAACCCUUCGAGGUGAUGCCCCAGCAUAACUGCAGUCAAAUGACUGAAACAAGAAAAAGAUAAAAGGCUUUGCUUACAAGGACCAUAGAAGAAGGCACUUGCAGAAGGUGCCAUGCAGUGGGACAGAACCUGAAACUACUUGCCUUGCAGUAUUUUGGUACAUAACCUUAUGUUCAAAGUUCAAAUCCUGUAGAGAAUAAAAUCCAGUCCCAAAAUAAGGUUAACUGAAGCUGCUCUACACCCUCCACCCCCAUGCCCGCUCCCUUCUGUGUUGCUAGUUAUGUCUCAUUUUAUUCUGAAAUCAAAUGUUUUUGUAACAAUCUAUAAAACUUAUUAUUAGCAUAGUUACUGAAUACUAGGUCUUUGGAUAUGUAGUGGAAUUUUGUCACACCACUUUCUAAUGAUAUUGAUUUCUUUUUACAUAGGCACAAGGUCAGAAAUUUGUAAGAAGGGGUUAGUAGUGCAUUUUAUCAACUCCAGAAGGAUGAAACACAAAGUUGACCUAAGACACACAGACACACCACACACACAUUGAUUGUCCUCACAGCUAACAUUAACACUCCUUUUCUAAAACCAUAGAAAAGAAGAAAACUAUUUUGUGUGGCACUAAAUUCUGCCAAUCUUUUAUUUAAUGAUGAUUUCUGAAGCACAUCAAGGCAAGAAAUUUAAUGUUUACAGAAUUACAAGUGAUAUUCAGUAAUCAAAUUGUGUAAUCUCACAGAAAAAAAGAGGAGGAUUGCUAAGGAAGCCCCGUCUUCUCUUAGAAGCUUCACUAGACAUUUACUUAAUCUUAUGGGUCCAUUUUUUACUGUUUUUUUUUUAUAUAUACAUCUUGCUGGUACCUUGUAAAAAGCACCCAGUACACUCUGUAAAGUGGUUGGUGUUAGGAAGGGCAUCCAGCCAUAGAAGCCAUGCCUAAACAGACAUGGAGCCUAGUACAGCUCUCUAGGUUACCAGCUCCUAUCAAACCAUCCAAACCAUUCCAGCAUAAAAAAACGGAUGUUAAAUGACGAUGGUGAUGAACUUGUUUGUAACUAUUAUUUUCUUUUUCAUUGAAUUCAAUAACUAUAUUUGUAUAUUUUAAAUGAAAAGAAAAUGAUAGA
rnacentral:lncRNA from 1 species